GGAUGCUAUCAUACCAGCACUAAAGCACCGGAUCCCAUCAGAACUCCGAAGUUAAGCGUGCUUAGGCGAGAGUAGUGCUAGGAUGGGUGACCUCCUGGGAAGUCCUCGUGUUGCAUUCC
rnacentral:rRNA from 2 species